UUCCCUCGAUUCUCCGAUGCGUGGGGAAUGACUUCAUUAUAUCCUGGGCCUUUCUUGCCGUCCUAUUUGAGUUUGAGCCUGAGCCUGGGUCCACCCCGGCCUGCCCCUCUUACCGCCCCAGGUUCUGUGCCUGGGCCUCAGUUUCCCUGUCUAUAAAGUGGUGGUAAAAAGAUUUGCUGAUAGUGCUGAUCCAGGAAAAGAAUGGAUGAGAUUGCAAAGGGCCCUCUAUGCACAUAUUAACUCUUCCGGUUUGGCAAGUCCUUUUUUGUGCUUCUGGGUUAAUUACCUAAGGACUAAUGUACUUAACGGUGACCUCUGAUGGGGGUAAGUUAGCUACUUAAGAAAGGGGAUAAAACAUAUAUAUUAAUAGGCAGAUUAAAAAGAAGGCAGUUUAAAGGCAAAAAAGGAGAUGAAAAGAGCAGGGAAAAGAAUAUUCUCUAUCUGUAGUUUCCCACCUCUCACAUACAGUGUGCACUCUCGAAUAAAGUAAAGAAAUCAGGUUACUUAACCUCUAUGGCCCUCCAUUUCGUCGUCUAGAAAUCCAGGGGGUCCAGAGGGUGGGAUGAAAUCGCAUCCAAAGCCCCUUUGAGUCCUAAUUUAUGAUCUACGGUCUAUCCGGACUGAUUUUGGUUGUUACGUUGAAGGAGAAUUCAGCUGCCCUUUUAAAGUAAUUAUUACUAUUCCAUUUAAUAUUUAAUUUUUUAUAUUUAAUUAUUAUUAAUUAUUCAGCUGUGGCUUUUGCUCAGGUUAUUUUAGUUACUGUGUUUGUUGUUCUUAUUUCUGGUUCUGCUUAUUUUCCUUUACAAUCACUUCAAACAGUUCAUCCUUCCGUUUCUCUGAAUUCUUCAUAUAUGCUGUUUCUUUUUUAAAAAUAAAUUUUAUUGCUAUUUUUAUAUCCUCUAAAUUUCUCCCAGUAUUUCUCCCCUUCACUCCUUUUAGAGCCCUCACAUGUAAUAAAGAAUAAAAAAAAAAGCCAGAAGAAAAAUCAGCAAAACCAGUCAGUAAAUUGAAAAAGUUUGAAAAUCUGUUAUCAAAACAUAAUAGUAUUCUGUUAUGUCUAUACACAAUUUUUUUCAUUUUCUUUCUGUUGUGAACUUAAAAACCAAACAAAAUCAACACUUCCAUAUACGUUGUGGAAUAGGAGAAGAUUGUAUAUAAAACUACAAAUCUCUAUUAUAAUUACUAAAGGUUUUUUAGCCAUUUCUCCAUUGUCUAGUUGUUUUUUUUUUUCUAUCAAAGGAAGUGCUGCUGUAUUUUGGUCUUUGACUUCACAAGCCCCCUUAUCAGGAUCACUGAGUCAAAAGGAUACAACAAUUUAUUGAUUUUUCUCACAUAAUUCCAAGUAGUUUUCCAAAACAGUUCACCAUAAAAUAUACCUGACUUCUUACAGACCCUCCAACAUUGACUGUCUCUGUUUUAUUCUUUGCCUCUGUAUGGGGAGUUGGGGGAAACAUAUGAGACGUUUUAAUUCAUGUUUCCUAGUGAUUUGGAGGAUUCUUUUAUAUAGUUGGUUACAAUUUGCAGUUCGUUUGAAAGUUGUUUGUUUAUAUCUUUGAUCACUUCUUUCUUGGAGAAUGGCUCUUGGACCUCUCUAUGUUUGUGUCCAUUUCCUGUCUAUCCUGGAAAACAGACUUUUGUUAGAGAUAUUUGAUGCAAAUAUCUUCCUUCCUGAACCUUUCUCUUAUGCUAGCUACUUUCAUUUUAUUUAUAGAAAAACUUCAAUUUAUUGAUUUACUGAAAAUGCCUAUUAUGUUUUAUAUACACCUCUAUCUCUUAAUUAGGACCUUUGCCUUUAACCAUAGUUGUCAAGGUUACUUUCUCAAUUAUAGGAAUAAUUUUUGUAACAUAGGUCAUAUUUGUUCUUUAAAUGUUUGGAAUUUACUCAUAAAUUUGUCUGGACCAGGAUUUCCCCCCUCUUUGGUAGUUCAUUUAUGUCUUGUUUGAUUUCUCUUUCUGAAAUUGGGUUGCUUUAAUGACUGUUUAUUGUUUUGUUAAUUUGAGUAUUUUAUAUGUGUUUUUAAAAUAAAUUUUUAUUGAUAUCUUUUGUUUUUCCAUAACUGAAAUAUCUCCCUGUAUCUCUCUACCCCUGCCAUCCUAUUUAACAAAAAAUUUGGGGUAUUUAAUAUUUUUGCAGGAAAUCAUCUAUUUCCUCUAAGUUUUUCUUUUGAAGUCAGCCCAGGAGGGAUGGGAAUCCACAAGAAAGAAAUUCUGAAGACAGAAAAAAUUAAAUUCCCAUGACAAGAACUGAGACUUAUCUGAAGAGCUCAAGAUGGAUGCUCAGAGAACUCCUCCCUUUAUAGUCAUAAAAGAUAUUUACAGAAGAUAGAAAGAAGAGCAGGAGAAUGAUCUUUACCCUGGAAGUGACAGAAGUAUAAAGAGACAUUUGGAGUUCCUACCCUGUUCAUGAGUUCAUGUGAUCUGACUGAGAUGAGCUAAUUCCCAGAUUUUUAAUGGAAUCCUGAUCAACAUCAUUGUGUCAAGGGAUACAAGUGAAGAACACCAUCAUUCCAUUUUGGUACUGUAGACAUCCAGGCUUCAAGUUAAUGGAAAUAAGGCUCUGGUUUCUCAGUCAGUCCUUGAAGACUGACACUGCUCAGAGAAAUCAAAAUAACUGGUGAACCAUGGAAUACUGUGCUUGUUCUAUUAUGACUUCUGCCAUAUGAAUCCUGCCUGUGACUUCAUCUGUGAGAAGGACAUACUGCAGAUACUAAUAGAAUCCUGGUUGCAUCUCAGCAAGGAAAAAUUCAUGUGAAUGUCUUCUUGCCUCCUCUGCCCUGUUACUUUCAGGGGUGGGGUGUAAUCCUACCUCCUUCCUUGUCCUGGAUAUGUCCUGGACAUAUCCUCCCCACCUAUACAUUUUUACACACAUAUGCUCCCCAGAGUAGGGAGAUUUUGGUGACUGGAUACCCAAAGUACCAGGCAGUGUGAAACUAAAAAUUGAGGACUGUGAAAGAGACCUAAUGGGAAUCUAUUGAACUGUUCAAAAGUAACUUUUUGUGCUGUGGAUGAAAUGGUAUAUGCUUUUUAGAACCCUUUGAUCUUCAUUGGUAAUGUGAACUGUUAUCUCCAGGGAUUGCUACAUCCCCAAUCAGGCAUUGGCCUUCAUCUAUUCAUGCAGUAUCUGCCAGCCCUUGAGUAUUUUACCAGUGAGUGGAGGAUCCCUAUCUACCAUCUGAAUCAGAUUUGGUGCUGCUUUGUACCUCAGGUGUUUGGGAAUUCUGGAGACGAAAAGUUACUACCGGCUGAAGUUUGUUUUUCCCUGGUUUACCUGUACUACUUUUGAUUAAGAAAACUGUAGUUGGUUAGUAACUGCCUCAGGUUACACCAAGCAUGACUUCUCAGUUUUCCAGCCCUUCUAAAGAGGCUCGGAGAUCACAUCUUCUCUGUGUCACUGGACACUUUAUUGAAACUGAAUUGUGGACAAUAAAUGGACUAUGGGUUGUGCUAUUCCCAAAUUUCUUGACAAAACUCUUCAUUGCUCUCACAGAAUUUUUUGCAGUCCUCAAGAAUACCCUUCAGGUAGGUCAGCCUGAAGGGGUAGAAGCUUGCCCUGUUUGCUGCCCCUCAGAACUGUUGAUUACCCUUUUUGAUCAAUGUCAGGGUAGCAGGUAUCUGUUCUAAAGGGACUCAGAGUUAUUUUGUAACUGAGUUAUAAAGGUACUUAAUGGGGAAAAAAAAUAAAAGCUGGUGGUUAAACAAACCCUUGCCAAGUCAAUAA